ensembl:antisense_RNA anr-25 ncRNA
GUCCGAUGCGUUUCUGGUUCUGCACCUGUUGCGUUCUAUCUUCUCCGAUGCUUCCUAUCUUCUUCAGAUGAUCAAAAAAUCGAAAGGCGCUAGACGACGAGAUCGACGACACCCCGGGAGGCAAGUGAUUCCUACCAGACGUCCGACCGCCCUUCGCACCUUUACAACCACUUUUUGUAUGUGAGGCUAGUGUUUUGAGAAGUUACGAAGAUGAUCGAGGGUGCGAAAGAUAAGGUACCGAAGGAGAGAGAAACGAGAAAAUGAGGGAAAAUGAGUGAAAUUGAGCGAAUUGGAGAAAAGAUGAUAUCUUCGGUUUCAAAUCUAACUCGAAAACUUUCGAACAAUGUACACAGGGGACUCUUGAACUGCAAACGACCAUCAGAGCAUCAGAUACAUAACAUAAACAAUUAUUUUCAAUUCCAAUUUCAAUUGUAUUCAAACUUCAGUCCCUGGAAACUAUUUCUCUAAAUCGACUAUAUGAAUUAGGUUUAACGAAGAAAUAAUAAAUUGUCAAAACAC